CCGGUGUCCCCAGGCAGUGUAGGCUUCGGGACCCUCGGCGCCGGCCACCAGGGGCCCUGGGCCAGUUCUAGGGCUCUGGUGCCGGGCUCAGGGGCUCGAGGAGAUCAGAGGCUCAGGGCUGCGGUUGAGGGUUCAGGGAUGACAGUCAAGAGAAUCUUGGAGUGGUGGGGCCCGUGGACGCCACCCAAGUCAACAACCAGGUGCUUUCUGGUUGGCGGAUCCCGGCCUGGAGCACCGCGAGUCCCAGCAACAUCCUACACCAACCACCACGGCCCUCGGGACCUCUGCCUCAGUUCCUCCACCGUGCUGGCUGCCCUGCCCCCCUCUCCGGCCUUGGUCUGGAGCGGUUGGAGCAGGACGUCCGAGCAGACGACUGAAGAGCCUGGGCCGGGACCAUCCUGGUGCCACACCCGGGGGCGUGGAGCCCACUCGCUGCCUCACCCGCCUUCUAGAACUCCCAAGUCUCUCCACAGGGGAUCUGGUGCUGGAACGCAAGGCGUGGACUCUGGGUCCAGGUGCGCUGGAUUCAAAUGUCGGAUCUGCUACUGCCUGCUCAUGCGACCUGGGCAGGCCCCUGCUCUGUGCCGUCGCCGCGGCAAGACGGUGCUCCUGGUAGGCUUAGGAACCUUACAGCAGCGGCUGUUUCGGGAAAUGACCCAGGACAGAACCUGGCACGUGGUAACUGCACAAAAUAAAUAACUCUUCAGUUUCCCUUUGAUUUCUUCUUUGACCCAUGGUUUAGUUUCUAAAUAUUUGAAGGUUUUCUAAAAAUCUUGUCACUGAUUUCUAGUAUUUCAUUUCAUUGUGGUUGAAGAACAUGCUCUCCAUGAUCCGAAUCCUUU
rnacentral:lncRNA from 1 species